rnacentral:rRNA from 1 species
AUUGAACGCUGGCGGCAAGCCUAACACAUGCAAGUCGAACGAGUGGCGGACGGGUGAGUAAUGUCUGGGAAACUGCCUGAUGGAGGGGGAUAACUACUGGACACGGUAGCUAAUACCGCAUACCAUCGGAUGUGCCCAGAGGGGAUUAGCUAGUAGGUGGGGUAAAGGAUCACCUAGGCGACGAUCCCUAGCUGGUCUGAGAGGAUGACCAGCCACACUGGAACUGAAACACGGUCCAGACACCUACGGUAGGCAGCAGUGGGGAAUAUUGCACAAGUGGCGCAAGCCUGAUGCAGCCAUGCCGCGGGUAUGAAGAAGGCCUUCGGGUUGUAAAGUACUUUCAGCGGGGAGGCGGUACCCGCAGAAGAAGCACCGGCUAACUCCGUGCCAGCAGCCGCGGUAAUUG